UACGAAGGGGGCUAGCGUUGCUCGGAAUUACUGGGCGUAAAGCGCACGUAGGCGGGUUCUUAAGUCGGUGGUGAAAUCCUGGAGCUCAACUCCAGAACUCGCCUUCGAAACUGGGAAUCUUGAGUCCGGGAGAGGUGAGUGGAACUGCGAGUGUAGAGGUGAAAUUCGUAGAUAUUCGCAAGAACACCAGUGGCGAAGGCGGCUCACUGGCCCGGUACUGACGCUGAGGUGCGAAAGCGUGGGGAGCAAACAGG
rnacentral:rRNA from 1 species